UACGGAGGAUGUAAGCGUUAUCCGGAUUUAUUGGGUUUAAAGGGUGCGCAGGUUGUUUGAUAAGUCAGUGGUGAAAGUCUGUCGCUUAACGGUAGGAUUGCCAUUGAUACUGUUAGACUUGAAUAUGGAUGAGGUAGGCGGAAUGUGUAGUGUAGCGGUGAAAUGCAUAGAUAUUACACAGAACACCGAUUGCGAAGGCAGCUUACUAAUCCAUCAUUGACGCUGAGGCACGAAAGCGUGGGGAUCAAACAGGAUUA
rnacentral:rRNA from 1 species